UGGCUGAUCUGGUCGUCUAGCCUGGUGUCUCCUUCCUCACUCACUAACCGCUGUGUAUUCCUCCUUAGCUUGUGCACUUUGUCAAAGAGAACAAUCUUCCUCAAGAAAGGAAGAUCGUCCCUUAGUCAGGGGAUAUGAUAAGCUGAUUUUCCCCAUGAGAACCCCCAAAGAAUCUCCCAGGGUUUAAUUUUUUAAGAAAAGAAUCAGCUUAUUG
rnacentral:sRNA from 1 species